rnacentral:rRNA from 1 species
CGCGGCCUAUCAGCUUGUUGGUGGGGUAACGGCCCACCAAGGCAUCGACGGGUAGCUGGUCUGAGAGGACGAUCAGCCACACUGGGACUGAGACACGGCCCAGACUCCUACGGGAGGCAGCAGUGGGGAAUAUUGCGCAAUGGGCGAAAGCCUGACGCAGCAACGCCGCGUGGGGGAUGAAGGCCUUCGGGUUGUAAACCCCUUUCAGCAGGGACGAAAAUGACGGUACCUGCAGAAGAAGCCCCGGCCGACUACGUGCCAGCAGCCGCGGUAACACGUAGGGGGCAAGCGUUGUCCGGAUUUAUUGGGCGUAAAGAGCUCGUAGGCGGUUGCGUAAGUCGGAUGUGAAAACUCAGGGCUCAACCCGGAGACGCCAUCCGAUACUGCGCUGACUAGAGUCCGGUAGAGGAGCAUGGAAUUCCUGGUGUAGCGGUGAAAUGCGCAGAUAUCAGGAGGAACACCAGUGGCGAAGGCGGUGCUCUGGGCCGGUACUGACGCUGAGGAGCGAAAGCGUGGGUAGCGAACAGGAUUAGAUACCCUGGUAGUCCACGCCGUAAACGUUGGGCACUAGGUGUGGGGCCUCCUUAACGGGUUCCGUGCCGUAGCUGACGCAUUAAGUGCCCCGCCUGGGGAGUACGG